CGCACCCUCCGCGCUACCGCGGCCGCCCGCAGCCGCCUCAUCGACCUCCUCCUCCUCCUCGUCGCCGUCGACGUCUUCUUCACCUUCGCCUCCAUAGCCGAUCGAUCGAUAGAAAGCUCCCUAGCUCUCGUCUCAAACGAGGCGAGGCGAGGAGAUGGCGGCCGGUGAAGCUAGCUGGAGGACGACGAGGUGAGCUAAGCUAAGC
rnacentral:lncRNA from 1 species